rnacentral:rRNA from 1 species
GACGAACCGUGCGAACGUUGUUCGGAAUCACUGGGCUUAAAGGGCGCGUAGGCGGACAUUCAAGUCAGGGGUGAAAUCCUCCGGCUCAACCGGAGAACUGCCUUUGAUACUGGAUGUCUCGAGUGAGGUAGGGGCAUGCGGAACUGAUGGUGGAGCGGUGAAAUGCGUUGAUAUCCAACGGAACUCCGGUGGCGAAGGCGAGGUGCUGGACCCUUUCUGACGCUGAGGCGCGAAAGCCAGGGGAGCGAACGGG